rnacentral:rRNA from 1 species
GAUGAACGCUGGCGGCGUGCCUAAUACAUGCAAGUCGAGCGAACAGACGAGGAGCUUGCUCCUCUGACGUUAGCGGCGGACGGGUGAGUAACACGUGGAUAACCUACCUAUAAGACUGGGAUAACUUCGGGAAACCGGAGCUAAUACCGGAUAAUAUAUUGAACCGCAUGGUUCAAUAGUGAAAGACGGUUUUGCUGUCACUUAUAGAUGGAUCCGCGCCGCAUUAGCUAGUUGGUAAGGUAACGGCUUACCAAGGCAACGAUGCGUAGCCGACCUGAGAGGGUGAUAGGCCACACGGGAACGGAGACACGGUCCAGACUCCUAAGGGAGGCAGCAGUAGGGAAUCUUCCGCAAUGGGCGAAAGCCUGACGGAGCAACGCCGCGUGAGUGAUGAAGGUCUUCGGAGCGUAAAACUCUGUUAUUAGGGAAGAACAAAUGUGUAAGUAACUAUGCACGUCUUGACGGUACCUAAUCAGAAAGCCACGGCUAACUACGUG